UACAGGGGGGGCAAGCGUUGUUCGGAAUUACUGGGCGUAAAGGGUCUGUAGGUGGCUUGCUAAGUCAGACGUGAAAUCCCUCAGCUUAACUGGGGAACUGCGUCUGAUACUGGCGAGCUUGAGUGCAGGAGAGGAACGCGGAAUUCCAGGUGUAGCGGUGAAAUGCGUAGAUAUCUGGAGGAACACCGGUGGCGAAGGCGGCGUUCUGGACUGCAACUGACACUGAGACUCGAAAGCAUGGGGAGCAAACAGGG
rnacentral:rRNA from 1 species